GGGCGCAUGGUGUAGUUGGUUAUCACAUCCGCUUAGCAUUUCUAAGCUUGCGGGGGGUGCUGGGUUCAAUUCCCAGUGCGUCCA